UACGUAGGGUGCAAGCGUUGUCCGGAAUUAUUGGGCGUAAAGAGCUCGUAGGCGGUCUGUCACGUCGGCUGUGAAAACCCGAGGCUCAACCUCGGGCCUGCAGUCGAUACGGGCAAACUAGAGUACUGCAGGGGAGACUGGAAUUCCUGGUGUAGCGGUGAAAUGCGCAGAUAUCAGGAGGAACACCGGUGGCGAAGGCGGGUCUCUGGGCAUCUCCUGACGCUGGAGGCGCGAAAGCGUGGGGGAGCAAACAGG
rnacentral:rRNA from 1 species